CAGAGGGUGCAAACGUUGCUCGGAAUUACUGGGCGUAAAGCGCGUGUAGGCGGGAAGAUAAGUCGGGUGUGAAAUCCCUGGGCUCAACCUAGGAACUGCAUCCGAAACUGUCUUUCUGGAGUGAUGGAGAGGAAAGCGGAAUUCCCGGUGUAGAGGUGAAAUUCGUAGAUAUCGGGAGGAACACCAGUGGCGAAGGCGGCUUUCUGGCCAUCAACCGACGCUGAGACGCGAAAGCGUGGGGAGCAAACAGGAUUAGAUACCCUGGUAGUCCACGCUGUAAUCGAUGAGUGCUAGGUGUUGUGGGUAUUGACCCCCGCGGUGCCGUAGCUAACGCGUUAAGCACUCCGCCUGGGGAGUACGGCCGCAAGGCUA
rnacentral:rRNA from 1 species